CCAGUACAACAUCAAAAAGAAGGAGGAGAUCGUCCCUGAGGAGCCUGCCAUGCCUGACAACCCCCUCAUGAGGAAGAAGAAAACGCCAGAAGAACUUGCCGCCGAAGCUGAGGCCGAAGAUCAGGAUGAAUUCACGAAGUUGAAAAACACCAUAGAAACACAAAUUAACGAAGUGAAACAGCAAAUAGAAGAAAAAUUUCACAUUCUUAGUGGUGGCAAGUGCGUCCUACAGUAAGCCUGUAGAGGCGACCCUGUGGGUGCUCCCGCCGCUAUGCAAAAUGAUAGGCCUACAAGCGUCUCCUUCGUAGGACGACCAACCAUCAUUCCUCCCUCACUCCUCUGGCCGCGGUCCUCCUGUCUAUCCCUCUGGGCUCUGACUUGCCGUGUGGAACCAUCAGCAGCAGCCACCAAGGGAAUCGUUUUCAUCCUUUUUCCAACUGAUGUCUAACAGAAGGAAUUCGUGUGUGUGUGUGUGCUUCGAUAUUGUCCAAAAUGUCCGGUAAGGAAGUAAGAAAAAUUAUCCGAAACGAAGACAAAGAAGAAGAACAACAACAAAAAGAAGGAAAAAAAAUCCUCUUGGAAUCUAGAAUCUCCUUGGUCAUCCUGGACUAACAUCUUCGCCGGGGUGGAAGGGGUUAAUACUCCCCUCUUCAGUUGACUAAAAGGUUUUGGAAAGCGAGUGGUAUCAGCAUCAUCACAUGCGACGUUGGCGAAUCUAUGAUAGGAGCAAAGCAUUAUCCCUUACGGUUUACAUUUCCACUAAAUUUGCUAUGCUAAUCAGUAUCUAGAAUGCACAAAAAAAAUGGAAAGGAUUUUUUACUAUGAUAUGUUACAGCAAAUGUUGAAAUUUUGAAUAGCAUUAAACUAGGAUUACUGAUUCGCGAAAAUUUUGACUUUUUUUCGCGCGUCUCAACUGCCUUCAGAUGGAAAUUAUGUUUAUACAGUGUGAUCCUUCACUAGCUAGAAGGUGAUUUUGUAUAUAGGAUCCCUUUCUUAUAAGUGCUACCAGCUGUUCCCAUGAGACCGUUAAGACUAUGUACCCUUUUGCAUAUAGUGAAUUUUGCAGCACACUCAGUGGGCCGUAAAAUGGUGAAAGAUGUCAACUUUGUAAGAUGAUCUGUUUCCCUCCUGAUUGACUUCCUUUUAGGGUCUUUUCCACGGAUUCACAGUCAACAUCUGCUAAUGUCUGAACACUUUUGUGCAGAAUAAUAUUACGGAAUCAAAUUAAACAGCUUUAAAAAAAAUAUGUAUCAUAAUAACAAUACUGAAAAAGAAAAUUUAAAGUUACCUAAAAAGAAACAGUCAACAAACCCCCCCAAAAGACUACAAAGUCUACAUCUUUUAUCAACAUAUAUUUGUCAUUGUUUAUUUGGUCAUGGAAGAAGAAGAAAAAAACAAUGCUAAAAGAUGUGUGGAAUGUUAGAUAACGUGUCCCUCAUCCCCCCAGAGGGCAGGACAGACGCAACCGGGCCAGUGUCUCUCAGUUCCAAGUUGUUACCGAGGUGUAACCCAACUUAAUCGUCGAUCAUCGAAAUCUCUCGUUUGUCUAGCUUAUUUAUUACAGUGUGUUUAUCGAAGUUGAGGUUACGUUGUAUUUAUGAAAUUAUAAGGAUACGUUUAAGGUCAGGUCAUUUUGACUACAUGUAGAAGCAUCUAUCUCUCUCUAGCUUUUGCCUGUUUUUGUCAUUGCUGGAUUUGGUUGGAUUUUCUCAUGAUCGGUCAAAAUAGGUCUGUUUGUUUUCCAUUCUCGGUAUUUGUUGAUCACUUUCCUUCCAAGACAUUCUGAGGGUAUGAUGCUUUCUGUUCAGUGUUUGCAAUGCACUUUGCUGAUGAUGAUUAUGACUGAAUUUAUUAUAGACAAAACGUGUUGCGUGAAUAGAAAAUGUUUAUCAUUAUUAUUAUUAUCAUUAUUAUCUUGAUUAUUAUAACUACUAUUAUUAGCAUCAUAUCAAGGUUAGCAUCACUUUUGUAAUUAGAAUUGUCAUUACCGUUGUUAUCAUCGUUAAAAUUGUUUAUUUUCAAUGUUUAAUGUAUGUGAAUCAUUCAAAUUCUUGUUGUACUUAUUUUCAACAUUGGAAAUAGCAAAGUUAUCAUGUUUGUUUGACGUAAAAAGAAUAAUUCAUUUAAAACAUGUUGAUUAAAGCUUUAAAGUAUAUUCAUAUUGUUACUGGACUUCAAAAGAAGAAAAUAUAUAUAUAUGUAAUUUCAUUGAUAAUUGGCCGUAAUCAGUCCUGUAUUGUUGUCAGGUGUAUUGCAAUCCAUCUAUGUCUGUGAGAGAAUACAAAAUCUUUAAUUUGUCUUUCUUUUGAUAAUGUUCAAAGACGAUUAUUGUGCAUUUUCUUGUUUGAAUCAUGUAUAUGUUGUGUAAAUAAGAAGUGUAACCUACGAUAACCGGCAACCCAAGUCUCGCUUGGCAGAACAGGUGCCAACACAGGUUUUUAAGUCGUAUUUAUCGAUCACGUGGAUUUUCAUCAUGGAGAAGCGAUUGUUGUGCUUCAAAGAAUGAUUCGAAGAAUUAAUAGUAUAGAUUUAAACCAUACUGAUUAUGUCUAUGUCUUUUCUUCCAUUUCUCUGAGUCUUUAAAAAAAAUACUCUUUCUGUAUAGGUAUAUCCAUAUAUCCAUAUAUAUAUACAUAUAUAUGUAUGUAUGUAUGUAUGUAUAUAUAUAUAUAUAUAUAUAUAUAUAUAUAUAUAUAUAUAUAUAUAUAUAUAUAUAUAUAUAUAUAUUUCAUAAAAUCUUCGUGGCUUUGAAAUCCAAGCUAUUCAGUAACCUAGUUAACCAAAAAAUAUAUAUAUAUGACGUAACAUCCGAGGUCAUAUCGUGACAAAAGGCCCAUACAAGUUCAUCUUAAAACUAAUAACUGUGAUGGUUAAACAAGAUGCAAAAGCAAAAAAAUAAAUAGCCAUUAUGAUAUAGGAAAUCUGUCUUUGUAUAGAGUUAUUAAGCAGAUCAUUUCGGUUGAUGUAAAUGUUGAUGACAUGGCACUGCAAGUUGCCCGAUUCCGCACUUCAGGAGUUCCAGUGUUUUGUGUAUCCCUCCCUUUAGCUUCAUCGGACUUGGACACCGUGUAGUGUGACAAGGACAAAAGCAAUGCAUGUAUAUGUACAUAAUAUAGUAAAACAUGACCUAUAGACUAAUUUUUGUUCAUACGAACUCGUUCAUGAGGUUAAGUAAGCCCAUUGUGGCUAUAGAUGUAUUUUGAAGGAUUAGAAGCCAAGUGGAAAAAAAACAGCCCUCACAUUUUUACAUUCUGUAAGUCAAGUUUUCCCUAACAAAUAUAUAUAUACAACCAGGGGAGGAUGUGUCUUAUAGGAGACCUCAAGUAGUGUUUGAUAUAGUGCACACAAGACGUGCUGUUGUAGUGUAUGAUACUCAUGUUUACAGGCCCGAGGUGCGCACUCAAGGGCCGGCGUUCCCUCGCUGUGCGCUGACUGGACCUGCGCAGCGAGGCAUGAACGCAUGCGCUCUGGGUCACAAAGCCUGGUGGCCAUAGACUGUACCCGAAUCCAGAAUCGAGACUAAGCGUAGGAGAGUCAAUGGUAGCAAAACUGGCUGUCCUAGAGCCAAGGUUCCUCUCACUCGCACUGCACCGUCAGUUAGAGAUUUCACGUUAUGUCGAAACAGUUCGACCGUCACUACAAGCAGAUGCUUUGUAAAACAUGACGAAACUUCAAUUGGGCCUUUUUUAACGGUAUGCCUUUCUAUCUGGCCAAUCGAGUCAACAAUGGGAAACUUAUUAUCCCGCUUUUAGUGUAUUUUGAACAAAUAUUAUGCAUGUUUAACAAAAUCAGAAGUAAUGGCAAAAUGGGGCUCUGAAAAACUGUAUUCCUUCUCAUUAAACAUCUCUAUGUAUUUUCUCUAUCAGUAAAGGUUCAAAUUUAUAGCAAAACAUUUUAAUGUAUAUCAAUCUGCUCGCGUCCCUCCGACAGAGCAUUCGAUGCUUCAUGACAAAUUUUGAGACUGAAAAAAAUCAAAAACCGAAAGAGAACCAUACUAAUAAAACCUGUGAAAAUCCUGUCCUGUGUAAGAGAGAGUAUAAAUUUGUAGACUUUUUGCUUACUGACGCCAGAAUCAUACCCAUUUCCUUUAAUCUAGACAAGUUGUUCUGAACCUUGUUGUUAACUACCGUUGUUGUUGAUUUGAUAGGCUACUAGUCAGUUAUGAUUGUUAGUCACUAUAAUCCGGUAGGAACUUCACGACGCUAUCUGUAUCUCUUCAGCAGGCUCUGGCAAGGGGAGUGUCAUUGCGGCUUUGCCCUCCUUGCAAAACAAAAUUUGAUAUUUGUUGAUUAUGCAAAAAUAUGAAUAAGUCAGUAACUGUUAAAACCUCAAUGGCUUCGAUGUAACUUCGUAAAUUCGUUCAGGUCUAUGCUCCUGCAGAAGCAAUUGCUGAGGAAUAUUUCUUUAAGGUAAUCAUCCCUUCUUCUGGAGCCUGCUGUACUAUUCCCUUGGUCCUUGGCAAGCCAAUCAGAAGGCUCAUGGAACUGAGUUGAUGAAAACUGCUUUUCUGAUUGGCUGUUAAUGUCACUUGAGUAUAAGAACGGUGUGUCCAGGGCGAAUGUUCUUACCUGAUUUAUAAAUAUGUAUGUACAUGUUUUGUGGACUGUAUUGUCUUAGGAUCGAAACAAUGAUAUUAUUGAUGAUCAGUUGAUGAUAAGCUUGAUGAUAACGAACCUUAGCUGUAAACAUGGCACUAACUUUGUGACGGGGAUCACCUUUUUCGGAACUCAAACGGGAGCCUCACACGAGUAAACUUGCCACCACAACGUAAUACAAGUUUUUUGAUGUGGAAGUCAUGUUUCCUCCUGGAAGUUGGUGGUAGAGUCAUAUUUCCAAGCGGUGCAACACGAGAUCACCGCAUAAUGAUGUUGGAGCCUGUCCUGGUGAAGAUGGACCGGAAACCCGAACAAGAUCACAAAAUGAGACGACCUUUUGACAGAAAGAACUCGUCUUCGCUCCCUCAGCAGUGAGGAUCUACGGACAAGCCUUGAUGAUCGAAAGAGAUGUUCUUAAGGAUUCGACGUCUCUGCUUUGGGAUCACGGGAAUCUGUUCUUGCGCGAAAAUCGUCCUAUUUGGAUUUUGCGGUUGACGGCCACCUCAUCAGACAUUAAAACAAAACCUCAGUAAAAAAGGAAAAAAACAUCAGAUGGAUAACCACGACGCCAACUUAAAUGUUCAUUCUUAGCCAGCACUAGUCUUUCACUGCUAACACAGUCUCAUAUCACAAGAUCUAAGUGUUGAGGUUCGUCUAGAACUGCAGGAGUGAAUUUUAUUUCUUCAGAAUAUAAAGAAUUAUUUGCAACUAGCUGGAAUGGGCAAAAUUUUCAUCUCUUACCUUUGUUUCCAUCACGAGCAUUGGUUUCUCGCAUCUAAACUACAAACUUUGACUCAAACCUGAACAUCACUUCUCGUAUCUCAUUCAUUUCUAUAUGUGAACUAUAAACAACAUUAGAUUUUUCGGAAAAUUUGCCCAGGAGAGUAGUGUGAACUAGCCGACUAUGCACCGCUGUUUCUCGAUAUCCGCAUAGGUUCAUAUUCUCCUUUUAGAAAGAUCUUGUAUCUAUUAUUAUCCUGUCAGUGUUGUACGUGUGUAUCGUGAACAUGAAGUACAUAGGCCUUCGUCUUCGUCCGGUAGCGUGACGUCACCGCUGCAGAACUCUGACGUCAUUGACUUUGUGACGUCACCAUUUGAAACUACAAUGCCAUAUCACUUUUAGAUUUUCCUUCCAACUUACUCUUGCACUUCCUCCUUUGCGCCCCCAAAGUGAGGCGCCUCUUAAAUAUGGCGUCAAUUUGCUUCAGCGAUGUUGACACGAUGCUGUAGGGAGGCCUGGGCCAAAAUUAUAUACUGAAGCGUUAUCAAUAAAUCCGUAUAUAAGAUUAGGAAGUUCAUAGAGAAUGUGAAUGGGGAAGCCCGUUGGAAUGAGUUAUUAGUUAGUUUAUACAAACCAAAAAAAAAAGUUAAAAAGAAGCCUUGUUGUACCAAUCUUGUUUUCUUCUCUUAUUUUUGUGUCUCCUUUUUAUUUAUGUUUUAGAACGUACAUACAGUAUCUCUCUUAGGGAAUUUUCACCAAGCUUUCCCCUUUCACUCCCUUACUCUCGAGUUUACCAAUGCUAAACAUUAGUUGAUAGGUAUUACUAGUAUCAAAGUGUGAUCUGUGGGUUUAUAGCAUCGUGGUAUGUCGAUUAGGCGAUUUCUUUCCCUUGUCCUUAAAUAAAAUGAAAUCUAAAUAAAGUGACAUAGUUAAAAAAACAAAACAAAUGGAAAUAUAAAGAGCAACUCUCGUGUUUUGUUUUUCAUUCGAUUGGUGACAUUUUCUUUGUGUUUUUUUGGAUAGAAACGUUAUUUUCUGAUUAUCAAAAGAUCCUCUUCGUCACAAAAGCGUCGGUGGUCAUGAUUGGUAAGGGUGAUUGUAAUGGAUAACAAAAUUACCCUUCGUUUUGAUGAAGUGACUGUGCAGUGUUCCCUUCCCUCGAACACUGUGAUCGUUUUUUAUGUAGGAUCCCUUGUCUUGCCUCAUAGAAAGGUUGUAGGUCAACAACUCAUAAUAUGUUCUGUAGUGUCGUUAAUACAUGUUGAUUUUUUAUAGUAAAUAUGCGGUUUCGCAAACUGAUCAGAGUGACUUUCAAACUUUUUAGAUAUAUCAUAACAGAAGUGUUUGUAGUGGUAACAAGAGGUGUAAAUUAUAAGUAUGUCCAUAGAAUUGUCUAAGUAUACCCUACAAAAUAUCCAAAGCAAGCCACCUUCGCCCGUUUUCUGUAACAAUUUUCACACACGAGGAAAAAAAACAAUGCAAGAACAUAUUAUAGGCAUGAGUUUUUAUCAUUGUUAUGGGUAGAGGAGAAUAUUCUUUAGGUAGUUUUACCGAUGUUAAAAAUACCUGUGAUGUGGAAAGUUACUUGGUAAUUAAACCUUGUUUAUUUUAAGCCCGCAGAAGACGGAGCAAACCCUGCCACUCCCUUUACAGUCACACUAUUGUAAUAAAUAAGAUACAGAAGUA
rnacentral:lncRNA from 1 species